rnacentral:rRNA from 1 species
AGUGAACGCUGGCGGUAUGCCUAACACAUGCAAGUCGAACGGCAGCACAGUAAGAGCUUGCUCUUACGGGUGGCGGGUGGCGGACGGGUGAGGAAUACAUCGGAAUCUACUUUUUCGUGGGGGAUAACGUAGGGAAACUUACGCUAAUACCUCAUACGACCUACGGGUGAAAGCAGGGGAUCUUCUGACCUUGCGCGAUUGAAUGAGCCGAUGUCGGAUUAGCUAGUUGGCGGGGUAAAGGCCCACCAAGGCGACGAUCCGUAGCUGGUCUGAGAGGAUGAUCAGCCACACUGGAACUGAGACACGGUCCAGACUCCUACGGGAGGCAGCAGUGGGGAAUAUUGGACAAAGGGCGCAAGCCUGAUCCAGCCAUACCGCGUGGGUGAAGAAGGCCUUCGGGUUGUAAAGCCCUUUUGUUAGGAAAGAAAAGCAGCAGGUUAAUACCCCGCUGUUAUGACGGUACCCAAAGAAUAAGCACCGGCUAACUUCGUG